rnacentral:lncRNA from 1 species
CAUUGUCUCUUUGUACUCUAUUUUCUGACUUGGAACCAAAGCUCCUUGUCACUCUUUAUUCGGUCUCUUCUUGUAGAUGUGUGUGAUCGUUUCGACUAGCUAGGGAAACCUUGCUGAGAAAAGAUUUUAGGUUAAAAGGAGGAACCUGUGGACACUGAAGUCCACGCACCUAGUUCCAAUCUUUUAAGCCUGCUAGCUGCUUCAUAUUUUCGAGUUUCAAUUUUCAAAUCGGAAAAGAGAUGUGUCCUCUGCCACCGAUACCGAGAAAAAAAAUGAUAUGUUGCACUACUUAGAAGACUUUCAUAAAGUAGCGUAUCAACUAUCAG